AACGUAGGAGACGAACGUUGUCCGGAUUUACUGGGCGUAAAGGGCGUGCAGGCGGUUUGUUAAGUCUAGGGUGAAAGCUCCCGGCUCAACUGGGAGAGGUCCUUGGAUACUGGCAGACUUGAGGAGGGUAGAGGAGAGUGGAAUUCCCGGUGUAGUGGUGAUAUGCGUAGAUAUCGGGAGGAACACCAGUGGCGAAGGCGGCUCUCUGGGCCCUACCUGACGCUGAGACGCGAAAGCGUGGGUAGCAAACAGG
rnacentral:rRNA from 1 species